rnacentral:rRNA from 1 species
UACGUAGGUGGCAAGCGUUGUCCGGAAUUAUUGGGCGUAAAGCGCGCGCAGGCGGUCCCUUAAGUCUGAUGUGAAAGCCCACGGCUCAACCGUGGAGGGUCAUUGGAAACUGGGGGACUUGAGUACAGAAGAGGAAGGCGGAAUUCCACGUGUAGCGGUGAAAUGCGUAGAGAUGUGGAGGAACACCAGUGGCGAAGGCGGCUUUCUGGUCUGUAACUGACGCUGAGGCGCGAAAGCGUGGGGAGCAAACAGG